rnacentral:rRNA from 1 species
AUUGAACGCUGGCGGCAGGCCUAACACAUGCAAGUCGAACGAGUGGCGGACGGGUGAGUAAUGUCUGGGAAACUGCCUGAUGGAGGGGGAUAACUACUGGAAACGGUAUCUAAUACCGCAUACCAUGAGAUGUGCCCAUGUGGGAUUAGCUAGUAGGUGGGGUAAAGGCUCACCUAGGCGACGCUCCCUAGCUGGUCUGAGAGGAUGACCAGCCAACAUGGAAAUGAUGCACGGUCCAGACUCCUUCGGGAGGCAGCAGUGGGGAAUAUUGCACAAUGGGAGCAAGCCUGAUGCAGCCAGGCCGCGUGUAAGAAGAAGGCCUUUGGGUUGUAAAGGUCUUUCAGGGGGGAGGAGUUAACCGCAGAAGAAGGAACGGCUAACUCCGUGCCAGCAGCCGCGGUAAUUC